UAGUACAUAUAUAAGUAUAUAUCAUUAUUUUGUUAAAUUCAUUUUAUAUUUCUUUCCUUUUCCCUACUUCUCAUUCUUCUACUCUACUGAUCUUACCUAUAUAUUUAUGAUAUCCUAUUCUGUCCCCCACCAUCUUCUUUCCCUUGUUUUGCUCUAACUUUUUCAUAUGAGAGAAAAAUGUUUGGCUGUUGAUUUUUCUGACUCUUGAUUUAUUUCACUUAACAUGAUUUUAACCAUUUACCAGCAAAGCCUUUAUUUCAUUCUUCUUUAUGGCUGAGUAAAAUGUCAUUGUGUAUAUAUACAACAUUUUCUCUAUCUGUUCACCUACUGAUGGACAUUUGGGUUGAUUUCAUAAUUUGGCUAUUAUGAAUUGUGCUGCUGUAAAUAUUGAAAUGGCUGUAUCACUCUAGUAUGCUGAUUUUAGUUCUUUGGGAGAAAUAACCAAGGACUGGGACAUCUGAGUCACAUGGUAUGUCCGAUCCUAGAUUUUUGUGGAAUCUUCACACUGCUUUCCAAAGUACUAAUUUGCAGUCCCACCAACAAUGUAUGAUUAUACCUUCCCCCACCCCACCCCCACAUCCUCACCUGAGAUAUUAUUGUGUUCUUGAUGAUUGCCAUUCUAACUGGAGUGAGAUGGUUUUGAUUUGUGUUUCUCUGAUUACUAGAGAUGUUGAAUGUUUUUUCAUAUGUUUGUUGGCCAUUUGUAUUUCUUUUGAAAAAUUCUUUUGACCAUUUGUUGAUUGGGCUAUUUGGGUUUUUGUGUGUGUGUGUGUUUUUGAAAUCUAAUUCUGGAUAUUAAUCCCCUGUCAGAGGCCAAGAUUUUCUUGCCAUUCUGUAGGAUGUCUCUUCACUCUCUUAAUCAUUUCCUUUGUUGUGCAGAAGCUUUUCAAUUUGAUGGCAUCCCACUUAUUGAUUCUUGGUUUUUAUUUCUUAAGCUCUGGAGGUCUUGUUUCAGUGCCUGCAUCCAUAUGAUGGAGUGUUGAGC
rnacentral:lncRNA from 1 species